CUGGAGCUGAGGCAGAGACAGAGACAGGCUUGCUGCAUGCAGGCUUGCCAGAUGCAGACGUGAUCCUAAUGCUCAACCUGCUGAUACCAGGGUUCAUGGAGUUGAAUAAUGAACUUUGUGAACCAACAAGAUUAUAACGGAGAAUGGUGAAUGUGUAUUUGAGAUGUGACAGAAAUGGAAGUACAAGGGAUGAUGUCAAAACUCUUUUCCAUCAUCAGGCUAGCCUGGAAUACCUUGUGAACUUGGGCAAGAAAAGUGAGUGAAAAAAGGAAAGGAAAUGACUCUGGGAGAGUGUCAGGCUGAGAGCAUGAACAGUGGAAGCCAAACAACCAUAGCACUAAAUGACACGGCCAAACCUUUCCCAAUAAGUGGCUUCCAAACUGAGACCUGAGGAUGAGCAAGAGUUUGCCAGAGACAUGUGUGUUCAUCAGGAAAUUGGCUCGCAUGAUUAUGGAAGCUGGCAAGUCCAAAAUCUAAAGGGUGUGUCAACAGGCUACAGACCCAAAUGUACUGAAAGCUGGCAGGUCAGAGACCUAGGAGAGCAAUGUUCCAGUUCCAGUCUGAAGGCAAUCUCCUGUAGAUCCAGAAACAGCCAAUGUUGCAGAUGAAGUCUGAAAUCAGUUUCCUGAAGAAUUCUUUCCUGCUCUGUGAAAACUGGUCUUUUUGUUUGAAUAAGGCCUUCAAAUAUUUGGAUGAGCCCCACCUAUAUUAUGGAGGACACUAUGCUUUACUCAAAUUUCCACAAUUUAUAUGUUACUCUCAUCCUAAAUACCCUCUCAGAAACACCCAGAAUAAUGCUUGACCAAAUAUCUGGGCACCCUGUGGCCCAGUCAUGUUGACACAUACAAUUAACUAUUUCACUAGGGUUAUGAGGAGGACAGAACUGUUUCAAAAUAAUUGCUUGCAUAGAUCUGUGACUUUAGAUUGUGAUUAACCUCUGUUUACUCCAUUCUAAAACAUGAUAACCAAACUAAACUCCCUCUUAAAGCUCGUGUGAGUAAUGCCCAGAUCCCUUCAAUAGCUAAAGCUAAAAACUUAAAGGAAGGAGAAUGGAUUUUUUUUUAACUUGAAAAAUAACAAUCAAUCUUAUUUAUGGAAAUUUAGAGCUGAAAUAAGCUUGAUGAGGCACAAAGACUUAAUGUAAUAAAUAAGAGCUCUAAAUUUUGCUCCGUUAGCAGCUUUCCACAUUGAACAGUAAUUGCUAAUCUGAUUUUGCUAGUAUUGCUAUGAUUUGCCUGAGAUACUUGAUUUAGCUGUAAAGCAUUUGCCUUUUUCUCUGGUACUGUCUGCCCUGUGGCUGUCUGUGAGUUUUUCUCAACUGCAGGAUUAAACCAUUUGAGCUGGGCUUACACAAAAUGCCAAUUGUCAACAAAUUCCUUUUACUGCUUUCUCCAUUUUUUUCAUUUGUGAAACAGGUAUUUGUAUGCAUUCUCAUAAAGCUAUUAUUUAAUGACUGCAUAGAUAUAUGUAACUUGUAAGAAUACAUUUGUGAUAUAUUUUAUUAAAAAACAGAUGGACUGAAAACAUAAACAUAUGCAGUUUUGUUCUUAGAAAUAGAAUUUUAACCACAUUUUGAAAACCGAAUUUUUUCUUAAGGGAGAUAUCCAUUCUUUGUUUAGAUAUUAGAUCUUCAGUGUCUUUUGCCUAGAAAAACCUCUUAUACCUAUAAUUCUAUU